GUGGGGAAUAUUGGGCAAUGGGGGCAACCCUGACCCAGCGACGCCGCGUGAGGGAAGAAGGCCUUAGGGUCGUAAACCUCUGUUGUGUGGGAAGAAGGAAGUGACGGUACCACACGAGGAAGUCCCGGCUAACUACGUGCCAGCAGCCGCGGUAAUACGUAGGGGACGAGCGUUGUCCGGAAUUACUGGGCGUAAAGGGCGCGUAGGCGGUCAUUUAAGUCAGCUGUGAAAUGGUCCGGCUCAACCGGAUCAUGCGGUUGAAACUGGAUGACUGGAGUGCUGGAGAGGCAAGGGGAAUUCCCAGUGUAGCGGUGAAAUGCGUAGAUAUUGGGAAGAACACCGGUGGCGAAGGCGACUUGCUGGCCAGCAACUGACGCUGAGGCGCGAAAGCCAGGGGAGCAAACGGGAUUAGAUACCCGGGUAGUCC
rnacentral:rRNA from 1 species